rnacentral:lncRNA from 1 species
CCUCCUCCCAAGUUACUACUAGUCCAACCCCUAGACGGUAAUUGUUUUUCUUCCCUGGUAAGUGAAAGCUUGUCAAAACCUUUCACCACAUAGACUUCUGCGUAGAUGACAGGGGCACCUGGAUGUCCGUUUAAACCCAAACAAAAUCACAAAGAGAAAGAGAGGAAGCAAAACUAUGGGUUGUUUCCUUCUUCCCCCAAAUUUCCUGAGGGAAAUCAGUGUAUGUGUUGGACCAAAAUUGAAUGCAUUUUUAAUAAUGUGGAGUUUUCCAAAAGAAGGAGUCACUAUAAUUUGAGUCAUGGAACAAUGAGCUGGUGAAGAAAUAUUUUGAAAAAUGGUGGAACACGGAGAGAUGUUUUCAUGUUUAUCUGAAUGGCUCUCUGUGUAUUAAGAGUGCAAAAAUGGCAAAUUAGAAGCUGGGAUCUUUUUCGUCAAAACUGUCCACAAACAAGAUGAUUUCUUGGGGCUAAUUUCCAUUCAGGGAUAGUGAGAGUUAUUUUAAACGACCAAAGCCAUUUCAGAAGGGUAAGAGCAUGUCAAC